GGGGAAUAUUGCGCAAUGGGCGAAAGCCUGACGCAGCGACGCCGCGUGAGGGAUGACGGCCUUCGGGUUGUAAACCUCUUUCAGCAGGGACGAAGCGAAAGUGACGGUACCUGCAGAAGAAGCACCGGCUAACUACGUGCCAGCAGCCGCGGUAAUACGUAGGGUGCAAGCGUUGUCCGGAUUUAUUGGGCGUAAAGAGCUCGUAGGCGGUCUGUCGCGUCGGAUGUGAAAACUUGGGGCUCAACCCUGAGCUUGCAUUCGAUACGGGCAGACUAGAGGAUGGCAGGGGAGACUGGAACUCCUGGUGUAGCGGUGGAAUGCGCAGAUAUCAGGAAGAACACCGGUGGCGAAGGCGGGUCUCUGGGCCAUUACUGACGCUGAGGAGCGAAAGCGUGGGGAGCAAAC
rnacentral:rRNA from 1 species